UAUGAACGCUGGCGGCGUGCCUAAUACAUGCAAGUCGAGCGAACAGACGAGGAGCUUGCUCCUCUGACGUUAGCGGCGGACGGGUGAGUAACACGUGGAUACCCUACCUAUAAGACUGGGAUAACUUCGGGAAACCGGAGCUAAUACCGGAGAAUAUAUUGAACCGCAUGGUUCAAUAGUGAAAGACGGUUUUGCUGUCACUUAUAGAUGGAUCCGCGCCGCAUUAGGUAGUUGGUAAGGUAACGGCUUACCAAGGCAACGAUGCGUAGCCGACCUGACAGGGUGAUCGGCCACACUGGAACUGAGACGCGCUCCAGACUCCUACGGGAGGCAGCAGUAGGGAAUCUUCCGCAAUGGGCGAAAGCCUUACGGAGCAACGCGGAGUGAGUGAUGAAGGUGUUCGGAUCGUAAAACUCUGUUAUUAGGGAAGAACAAAUGUGUAAGUAACUAUGCACGUAUUGACGGUACUUAAUCAGAAAGCAACGGCUAACUACGUG
rnacentral:rRNA from 1 species